CCUACGGGUGGCUGCAGUAAGGAAUAUUGGUCAAUGGACGGAAGUCUGAACCAGCCAUCCCGCGUGCAGGAAGAAGGUCCUAUGGAUUGUAAACUGCUUUUAGCAGAGACGAAACGCCUUCAUUUAUGGGGGUUUGACGGUAUCUGCGGAAUAAGCACCGGCUAACUCCGUGCCCGCAGCCGCGGUAAUACGGAGGGUGCAAGCGUUACCCGGAAUCACGGGGUUUAAGGGGUGCGUUGAAGGGAGUGGUGAAAGCCUGUAGCUUAACUACAGAAUUGCCAUUGAUACUGAUUUUCUUGAAUUGGGUUGAGGUUAGCGGAAUGUGACAUGUAACGGUGAAAUGUUUAGAUAUGUCAUGGAACACCGAUUGCGAAGGCAGCUAGCUGGGCCUUGAUUGACGCUGAGGCACGAAAGCGUGGGUAGCGAACAGGAUUAGAUACCCCUGUAGUC
rnacentral:rRNA from 1 species